rnacentral:rRNA from 1 species
AUUGAACGCUGGCGGCAGGCCUAACACAUGCAAGUCGAACGGUAACAGAAAGCCGCUUGCUGCUUUGCUGACGAGUGGCGGACGGGUGAGUAAUGUCUGGGGAAACGCCCUGAGGGAGGGGGAUAAUUACGGGAAAGGGUAGCAAACACGGAAUAAUGUCGCAAGACCAAGGAGGGGGCCUUCCGGCCCUUUUGCCUUCGGUUUUGCCCAGAUGGGAUUAGCUAGUAGGUGGGGUAACGGUCCACCAAGGCGACGAUCCCUAGCUGGUCUGAGAGGUUGACCGGCCACACUGGAACUGAGACACGGUCCAGACUCCUACGGGAGGCAGCAGUGGGGAAUAUUGCACAAUGGGCGCAAGCCUGAUGCAGCCAUGCCGCGUGUAUGAAGAAGGCCUUCGGGUUGUAAAGUACUUUCAGCGGGGAGGAAGGGAGUAAAGUUAAUACCUUUACUCAUUGACGUUACCCGCAGAAGAAGCACCGGCUAACUCCGUG